rnacentral:rRNA from 1 species
CCUACGGGUGGCAGCAGUGAGGCAUAUUGGUCAAUGGGCGCGAGCCUGAACCAGCCAAGUCGCGUGAGGGAAGACGGUCCUAUGGAUUGUCAACCUCUUUUGUCGGGGAGCAAAAGACGCCCCGCGUGGCGUUCCGAGAGUACCCGAAGAAAAAGCAUCGGCUAACUCCGUGCCAGCAGCCGCGGUAAUACGGCGGAUGCGAGCGUUAUCCGGAUUUAUUGGGUUUAAAGGGUGCGCAGGCGGAAGAUCAAGUCAGCGGUAAAAGUGAGAGGCUCAACCUCUUCGAGCCGUUGAAACUGGUUUGCUUGAGUGAGCGAGAAGUAUGCGGAAUGCGUGGUGUAGCGGUGAAAUGCAUAGAUAUCACGCAGAACUCCGAUUGCGAAGGCAGCAUACCGGCGCUCAACUGACGCUCAUGCACGAAAGUGUGGGUAUCGAUCAGGAUUAGAUACCCGGGUAGUC